CGGACGGGUGAGUAACGCGUGAGAAUCUGGCUUCAGGUCUGGGACAACCACUGGAAACGGUGGCUAAUACCGGAUGUGCCGAAAGGUGAAAGGUUAACUGCCUGAAGAUGAGCUCGCGUCUGAUUAGCUAGUUGGAAGUGUAAUGGACUCCCAAGACGACGAUCAGUAGCUGGUCUGAGAGGACGAUCAGCCACACUGGGACUGAGACACGGCCCAGACUCCUACGGGAGGCAGCAGUGGGGAAUUUUCCGCAAUGGGCGAAAGCCUGACGGAGCAAUACCGCGUGAGGGAGGAAGGCUCUUGGGUCGUAAACCUCUUUUCUCAGGGAAGAACACAAUGACGGUACCUGAGGAAUAAGCAUCGGCUAACUCCGUGCCAGCAGCCGCGGUAAUACGGAGGAUGCAAGCGUUAUCCGGAAUGAUUGGGCGUAAAGCGUCCGCAGGUGGCAAUGUAAGUCUGCUGUUAAAGAGUCUAGCUCAACUAGAUAAGAGCAGUGGAAACUACAUAGCUAGAGUACGUUCGGGGCAGAGGGAAUUCCUGGUGUAGCGGUGAAAUGCGUAGAGAUCAGGAAGAACACCAGUGGCGAAGGCGCUCUGCUAGGCCGUAACUGACACUGAGGGACGAAAGCUAGGGGAGCGAAUGGGAUUAGAUACCCCAGUAGUC
rnacentral:rRNA from 1 species